AUGUCUCUUUGAAAAUAAGAUAUAAAGAGUCCAGCCUGCCCGGUGACGUAGUUUAACGGCUGCAGUAUCCUGACUGUGCAAAGGUAGCAUAAUAACUUGUCUUUUAAUUGGAGGAUAGAAUCAACGGCUUGACGAGAGUAAAACUGUCUUUUUUAUUUUUAUUAUAAAUUAUCCUUUAAGUUAAAAGACUUAAAUAUAACUAAGGGACGAUAAGACCCUAUUGAGCUUAAAAAGAAUAAAAUAAUUAUUCAUUUAUUAGCAAGAUUGAUAAUAAUUUUAAUUUAUUUUGGUUGGGGCGACUGCGGAGUAUACAAAACCUCCGUUUUAAAAAAUAUAUUUGUAUUUAUUGAUCCUUAGCUUAAGAUAAGACGAAUUAGUUACCAUAGGGAUAACAGCGCACCGCUUCUAGGGAGAUCAUAUUUUUGGGAGAGAUUGCGACCUCGAUGUUGGAUUAAGGUAUACUAAAAGGUGCAGGAGCUUUUUAAGUUAGUCUGUUCGACUAUUAAAUCCUU
rnacentral:rRNA from 1 species